AGAGUUUGAUCCUGGCUCAGGAUGAACGCUGGCGGCGUGCCUAACACAUGCAAGUCGAGCGAUUCUCUUCGGAGAAGAGCGGCGGACGGGUGAGUAACGCGUGGGUAACCUGCCCUGUACACACGGAUAACAUACCGAAAGGUAUGCUAAUACGGGAUAACAUAUAAGAGUCGCAUGACUUUUAUAUCAAAGAUUUUUUGGUACAGGAUGGACCCGCGUCUGAUUAGCUUGUUGGCGGGGUAACGGCCCACCAAGGCGACGAUCAGUAGCCGACCUGAGAGGGUGAUCGGCCACAUUGGAACUGAGACACGGUCCAAACUCCUACGGGAGGCAGCAGUGGGGAAUAUUGCACAAUGGGCGCAAGCCUGAUGCAGCAACGCCGCGUGAGCGAUGAAGGCCUUCGGGUCGUAAAGCUCUGUCCUCAAGGAAGAUAAUGACGGUACUUGAGGAGGAAGCCCCGGCUAACUACGUGCCAGCAGCCGCGGUAAUACGUAUGUCGCAAGCGUUAUCCGGAUUUAUUGGGCGUAAAGCGCGUCUAGGCGGUUUGGUAAGUCUGAUGUGAAAAUGCGGGGCUCAACUCCGUAUUGCGUUGGAAACUGUCAAACUAGAGUACUGGAGAGGUAGGCGGAACUACAAGUGUAGAGGUGAAAUUCGUAGAUAUUUGUAGGAAUGCCGAUGGGGAAGCCAGCCUACUGGACAGAUACUGACGCUAAAGCGCGAAAGCGUGGGUAGCAAACAGGAUUAGACACCCUGGUAGUCCACGCCGUAACGAUGAAUUCUAGGUGUUUGGGGGUCGAACCUCAGCGCCCAACCUAACGC
rnacentral:rRNA from 1 species